UGGGGAAUAUUGCACAAUGGGCGCAAGCCUGAUGCAGCCAUGCCGCGUGUAUGAAGAAGGCCUUCGGGUUGUAAAGUACUUUCAGCGAGGAGGAAGGUGCUGUGGUUAAUAACCGCAGCAAUUGACGUUACUCGCAGAAGAAGCACCGGGCUAACUCCUGCCAGCAGCCGCGGUAAUACGGGGGUGCAAGCGUAUCGGAAUUACUGGGCGUAAAGCGCACGCAGGCGGUCUGUCAAGUCGGAUGUGAAAUCCCCGGGCUCAACUGGGAACUGGCAUCCGAAACUGGCAGGCUAGAGUCUUGUAGA
rnacentral:rRNA from 1 species